rnacentral:rRNA from 1 species
AUUGAACGCUGGCGGCAGGCCUAACACAUGCAAGUCGAACGAGUGGCGGACGGGUGAGUAUUGUCUGGGAAACUGCCUGAUGGAGGGGGUUAACUACUGGAAUCGGUAGCUAUUACCUCAUACCAUCGGUCCUGCCCAGAUGGGAUUAGCUAGUAGGUGGGGUGUAAGCUCACCUAGGCGACGAUCCCUCGCUGGUCUGAGAGGAUGACCGGCCAAACUGGAACUAAGACACGGUCCAGACUCCUACGGGAGGCAGCAGUGGGGAAUAUUGCACAAUGGGCGCAAGCCUGAUGCAGCCAUGCCGCGUGUAUGAAGAAGGCCUUGGGGUUGUAAAGUACUUUCAGCGGGGAGGCGUUACCCGCAGAAGAAGCACCGGCUAACUCCGUGCCAGCAGCCGCGGUAAUUC